rnacentral:pre_miRNA from 1 species
UCGGCCGGUCAGAUCCAGCAAGCCCGAGCUCCGGCCAGUCAGAACCGGCGAGCCCGAGCUCGGGGCCACCAGAUCUGGCCGCCGGC